UACGUAGGGUGCAAGCGUUUGUCCGGAAUUAUUGGGCGUAAAGAGCUCGUAGGCGGCUUGUCGCGUCGGCUGUGAAAACCUGGGGCUCAACCCCGGGCCUGCAGCCGAUACGGGCAAGCUAGAAUUCGGUAGGGGAGACUGGGAAUUCCUGGUGUAGCGGUGAAAUGCGCAGAUAUCAGGAGGAACACCGGUGGCGAAGGCGGGUCUCUGGGCCGAUAUUGACGCUGAGGAGCGAAAGCGUGGGGAGCGAACAGG
rnacentral:rRNA from 1 species